rnacentral:SRP_RNA from 1 species
CCCAGGUGUGGUGGUGUACACCUGUAAUCCCAGCUACUUGGGAGGCUGAGGCAGGAGAAUCGCUUGAACCCGGGAGGUAGAGGUUGCAGUGAGCCAAGAUCGCGCCACUGCAUUCUAGCCUGGGCAACAGAGUGAGACCCUGUCUCAA